UACGAAGGGGGCUAGCGUUGUUCGGAAUUACUGGGCGUAAAGAGUGUGUAGGCGGUGCUCCAAGUCUGGUGUGAAAUCUCCCGGCUCAACUGGGAGGGUGCGCUAGAAACUGGAAUGCUAGAGGAUGGGAGAGGUAAGCGGAAUUCCUGGUGUAGCGGUGAAAUGCGUAGAUAUCAGGAGGAAUACCGAUGGCGAAGGCAGGUCUCUGGGCUAUAACUGACGCUCAUGCACGAAAGCGUGGGGAGCAAACAGG
rnacentral:rRNA from 1 species